CCUACGGGAGGCAGCAGUGAGGAAUAUUGGUCAAUGGACGAGAGUCUGAACCAGCCAAGUAGCGUGAAGGAUGACUGCCCUAUGGGUUGUAAACUUCUUUUAUAAAGGAAUAAAACGAGGCACGUGUGCAUUUUUGCAUGUACUUUAUGAAUAAGGAUCGGCUAACUCCGUGCCAGCAGCCGCGGUAAUACGGAGGAUCCGAGCGUUAUCCGGAUUUAUUGGGUUUAAAGGGAGCGUAGAUGGGUUGUUAAGGCAGUUGUGAAAGUUUGCGGCUCAACCGUAAAAUUGCAAUUGCUACUGGCAGUCUUUAGUACAGUUGCUGUAGGCGGACUUCGUGGUGUAGCGG
rnacentral:rRNA from 1 species